ACUUAAAAAUGUAAAAAGGCAGAUCUGCCAGCAGCUUCGUACUUGAGACCAGACAACCCACACAUGCUGUGUGUGCCUCACAUUAAGUGGUGACUCGGGACUGUGCUGGCUCUGUGGGGCUAGAACCCUAAGGAGUACCGCCGGAAGAAAGCCCAGCAUUACUAUGGCUGGGGGACAGCUGUUAGAUGGUCCUAGGACAUCAGCCAUGGAGAACACAGAGGGUCAGGACAAAGCUAAAAUGCCCAUAGAACUGCCACUGGUUGCCAGGGUAGUUCCAUGGUUGGAAAUUCAAGGCCCGUCUCUUUGCCCUAGCUAUCUCUAUUUGACAUUUCCAAAGAGGGAUGGGUGGAUGGAACCUCUUAACUCCAGAGCUGGGAAUCCCAAAGCCCUCUCAAGUGUCUAACCAACCUCUCUGCCAGGAAGUUCUUCCUUAGGUCUAUCUUAAAUUUAUUUUGCUCAUACAGAAGCCAGUUUCCUCUAAUCCAGGGUUUAGCAAACUUUUACUGUGAGGAGCCAAAUAAACAUUUUAGGAUUUGCAAGCCAUCUGAUCUCCACCAGCUACUCAGCUCUGCCGUAGCUCGAAGCAGCCACAGAGAGUGUGUAAAUGAAUUCAUGGCUAUGCUCCAGGAAAACUAUUUCUGGACACACAUGUGAAUUCUGUAUACUUUUCACAUGUCACAAAAUAUUAUUCUCUCUUUCCUUUUUUUUUUUUUUGGAGAUGGAGUUUUGCUCUGCUGCCCAGGCUGGAAUGCAGUGGCUCAGUCUCAGCUCACUGCAACCUCUUCAUCCCAGGUUCAAGCAAUUCUCCUGCCUCAGCCUCCCAAGUAGCUGUGACUACAGGCAUGUGCCACCACACCUGGUUAAUUUUUGUAUUUUUAGUAGAGAUAAGGUUUUACCAUGUUGGCCAGGCUGGUCUCAAACUUCUGACCUCAGGUGAUCCGCCCGCCUCAGCCUCCCAAAAUGCUGGGAUUACAGGUGUGAGCCACCGCACCUGGCCAUAAAAUAUUAUUAGUUUAAUUUUCUAAAACCAUUUAAAAGUGCAAAAACUGCUCUUUGCUUGCCAACUGCGCAAAACCAGGCAGUGGGGCAGAUUUGGCCUGAGGGUCACGGUUUGCCAACCCCUGCUCAAGCCUGCUCACUCUCAACGCUGGCUGCACGUUGCAAUAAUCCAGGAACAUUCACAGGCCUGGGGCCCACCCACAAAGCUUCUGUUUUGUUUGGUCUGGGCUUCAUAGUUUUUCUCCCAGGUAACUUCAGGUGCAGCUGGGGCGGAGAGUCUCUGCUCUCCCCUUCCAUCUGUAGCAGUGUGGCUGGUGUUAAAUCCACCUAUUCCACCUCUCACAGCUUUGGCAACCUUAGGAAAGUUUCUUAAGGUCUCUGUGCCUUGAUUUUUUCAUCUGUAAAAUGGGAAUAAUAACUCUCCCUUCAUAGGGUUGUUGUGAGUAGUGAAUGCAUACUUCUUUUUUUUUUUUUUUCUUUUGAGACAGAGUUUCACUCUUGUUGCCCAGGCUGGAGUGCAGUGGCACGAUCUCGGCUCACUGCGACCUCUGCCUCCUGGGUACAAGUGAUUCUCCCGCCUCAGCCUCUCGCGUACCUGGGAUUAUAGGCAAGCAUCACCACGCCCGGUUACUGUUUGUAUUUUUAGUAGAGAUGGGGUUUCACCAUGUUGGCCAGGCUGGUCUCAAACUCCUGACCUCAGGUGAUCCCCCCGUCUCAGCCUCCCAAAGUGCUGGGAUUACAGGCAUGAGCCAGCAUGCCUGGCCUGUGAACGCAGAAUUCUUAUAAGGUGUUUAGAACAGUGCCUAGCACCUAAUAAACCUCCAGUGUUAGCUAAUUUGUUAUUCUAGGAGAAUUUUAGAUGUCGGUUCUUUGACAAUGACCCAUCACAUACUCUGAGAUCAUUUCUAAGUCACCAUUCAAGCUCCUUCCCCAAAGUGUGUUCCAUAGAACACUGGGACCAUGAGAUGCUCUAUUAGAAAGGGUCAGGGUACGGUUCCAUGGUCAGAGAGGUUUGGAAAACUGUUCUGGCCUCAGCCCUUGGCAGCAUGUGCAGAUUCCAGGCACCGAGGCAGGGCUGGAGGAGUAAGUGGCUUUGCAAUAAAAUGGGUGCUGGAGUCUAAAAUGAUACCCUGGGUGGAGUGGGGGAGCUGAGCAGGAGGCCAGGUGGCAACCAGUAGCUGCUGGGCCCGUGGCCUGAACCCUCCUGCACUCCUCCAGCUGGAGUCUCACCGCGGAUCCCAGGAAUACCUGCUGUUCCCACAGGGCUGCCUUUCCGUAGUUUGUCUGGAGACACCAAGAGUGGUUUCCAUGCCUGCUGGGAAUAGGCUGAGCAUGCAAUGACAUGAGGGCCAAGGCUUGUGGGAAAAUGACAGCUUCACAGCCCCUUGAGGAGUGACCAAGCCACAAAGUAAAUCCUAAAGCCACAACCCCUUCUACCACUGAGCUGCUGGAGGUGGGUCCUUAUUUCAAGCCAUAUUCAACCCACCCAACAAAACCUAACAUUGAGGUGGUGGGCACACGGCCCCUGCCGUGGGGCUCACUCUGCAGCUGGAGAGACAGCAUACCUGAAACCUGCAAGGAACCGGUUUAUAAAACAACAGAACAGCCAGGAAAAUGGUGCUAGGAGAGACAGUGGAGAGGCCAGAGAAGCAAACCACUGUGGCUCCUCACUGGGGGUUUCACGGGGUUGGACUGAGCCCUGUCACCUCUGUGAUAGUCUUCACUCUGACAGGCAAUGGUGACUGUGUGUGUUUCCUGGGGAGGAGGUUAGCAGGGACGGUUGCCUUUCCUGGGAAGGGCAGUUUGCAGAACCAGGGGUUUAUAUUGCAGGGAGUGUAUUUUCUGAAUUCUAAGUCAGAACAAGCAGUCUGAUACAGGAUCCAUGGCUGGGUCACUUCUGGGUGCAAGAGGCUUUCUAGACCUUAGACACUCAAGAUUACGGUCCCGGGCCAGUAACAGCACCUGGGAGCUUGGUAGAAAUGCAGAAUCUUAGCCUAGGCAACAUAGGGAGACCUCAUCUCUGCAAAAAAUAACAAAAUUAGCCGGGCAUGGUGGUGCACACCUGUAGUCCCAGCUAUUCUCCAGGCUGAGGUGGGAGGAUCGCUUGAGCCCAAGAGGUUGAGGCUGCAGUGAGCCAUGAUCGCACCACUGCACUCCAGCUUAGGCAAUACAGCGAGACCUUGUCUCAAAAAAAGACAAAAAAAACAAAAAGAAAUGUAGAUUCUUGGGCCCCACCACCCCACGCCUACUGAGCCAGAAUCUCUGGGGGUGGGGCCCAGCCAUUUGGCUUUUCACAAGUUCUCCAGGUCAUUCUUGGGCACGAUCAAAUUUGAGAAUCACAGGUCUAGGAUACGACGGGGAAAACAGAAAUGUGGGGUGGUCAGGGACAUUCGGAUAAUUCGGGCUAUUUGUAUUCAGGUGUGAGCUGGCAAAUCCGAGACCUGUUUUGCGUAGCUAAUUACCAGCAAUGACAAACUCCCAGGCUCUGAGGCCCAAGCCUCCUGGGCUGCAACUGGUCUUUAUUUUUGGAGGCAAUGAAUGGAGCACCUCGGCCUGGGACCCUCAGUGUAGGGUUUUCUGACUCUUAGGCAACUUCCUAGGGUGCUGUACUUCCUUUUUAAAGUUGGGGAGCGGCAGGGGGAGGGGGAAGUGCCACGCCCUUGUAGUUUCAUGAUGUCAUGUUGCAUGUGCUCUUGAGCUGUAAAUAAAGAGACGAUGGUUAAAAAGCC
rnacentral:lncRNA from 10 species